UCUUGGUUAACACAUGCCGCAGUUUUGAC
rnacentral:piRNA from 1 species